UGCAGGCCCUGUUCAAUUAGGCCAAGCCUAAAUUCACUUUCAGUGCAUAAGGAGACCGUGUACAUCUGCUGGGCAGUGCGUCUUGCCAACCACUGAUGAUGGCAGGAGAAGAAAAAUGGGGCAAGCGGGAUGGGAUGUGGCUUCAGGCUGGUCUCAAAGACCACCAGGUUCCAGGGUUGCCCAUUGGGAGCAUCUUUGACUCCUCCCAUUCUCUCUGAAAAGAUGGGCCUGACCAGCUAUCCACCACCUCCAUGUUCCUUCCUUGAAAGUAGUUCCAUCUCACAGACAGGAAACUGAGACCCAACCAGGUUCAUGUGGCAUAGGCCUGGGCUUCUGACAAAGAUCCCUCCUGAAGGGCAAAUCCCCUGUCAUCCGAGAAUGUGAGAGGCUUGAGCCUCAGGGUACAGCUAUGUCUCCCAGGAGACCAGGAAAGGGCAAAGCUUUGAGUCAGACUGAUCUGAGUUCACAUCUAGGCCAGGUGCCUCGGGGUGUGUUCCGUCCAUUAGCUUCCUGUUCCGGCCCCCUCUGUUAUGAAGCAGGAGUGGGCAAGACCGAAGAUCUGAGGGCCGCUAAGAUGAGAGCGAGUAUGGCCAGAAAAGGGUAUGGGACUGCCCAGGAUUCCUCAUGAACAGCAGGCAAACUAGUCACUCCCGUUCACAAGCAUUGCUUAAAGAUUAACGGCAGUUUCCCAGGACUCCCCUGGGCAGGCUCUGGCUGGAGGAGCAGGUUUCUCCUCCCUCCUCCAUGCCUAAGUCUUGUCUAAUGGCCUUUACUAGCCACUCUGGUCUGAGGGGGAGGGUGGAUACUCUUCCUGUGAGGCUCAGGGGCUGACUCUAGAGAGUGAGCGGUAGGUGUCCUUCCCUGUGCCACACUUGGUGAUGUCAGACUGGUCACCUGGUGUCAGCCUCAGAGGAAGUACAUUCUCCUUGGAAAUGGGGGAAUUUGACAAGUAAUUCAAUAGUUUGUUUUUGUUUUUUUUUUCUUCCAGAGAGCUGGUUCUUUCUCCAGAAGUUCAACAGAAAGGUCUGGGGGUUUCUAGAACGAAGAAAAUAGAAAGCUUCGAAGCCCCUUUGGACCGAGGGGCUAAGGUUGAAGCCUCUGCUCUACCAUUUUGCAAAUAUAUGCAUGACCUAGAGUAUGCUGUUUUUCCCCCUGAGCCUCAGUACACCAAAAGCCUGCACAGCGGCUAAGGUUCCCAGGGGGAGACAGACAGGUGAGGUACCUCUGCACCGAUAAGUUCUCGCAACCUUUCAUGGAAGAUUGGUGUUGGCUCUGCUGCUGACACAGCCUCACAACUGGGCUGCCUCUAGCUUUGAGCGUAGGGUAACAUCACAUCAGAGACUCUAAGAGGAAACACCCAGCACAAUGGUUUCUUUGUCGAGCUUUUGGAGUACCCUUUGUUCUUAACCAUCCCUCCCGGCUUCAGACUGUAACCCCCACCAGGCAUGCCCACUCCUGCCACCAGCCUCCCCAUCCUCCCAGGCCUUCAGGAUCCUGGGUAAGGGCCAUGUCCUCCAGGACAUGCUUCUAGACACACCCCUGAUAGAGACACAACCCAAGUCCAUUCUGGGUGUGUCUGUACCCUGAAGGCAGGAGCCAUGGCCUGGCCUAUGCCCAACAUAGAGUGGUCACUAGCCAGCUGGCGGUGGAAAACACACUGACGUGGCAUCCACGGACUCUGAGAGUACAAGUUCCAAUGUUCUGCCACUGACUAUGACUCUCCUUCUUCGGGCCUUCCUUACUCACCAGUCAAAUGGGAACGUUCAUCCCGUUGCAGACUACUAAGGGAGGGUUGCUGGUCUGGCCCGGCAGACAAUGAAUGGGGUACCUUAUUGUGCUCUGUGUUAGUAAGACAGCCACUUACUGCUUCGUGUCUGUGCAUCGGUGUUAUGAAACAUAUGGGGCCAGACUCGGAAGAUCCCAGCAGCAACACUAACAUUUCACCCCCAAGCCCCAGACAGGAGUCUAGCAUGGCUGUCCUCUGAGCAGCUCCACCCACCAACUGACUCAGAGUCAUACACCCACAGCCAAACAGUGGAUGGAGCUUGAGGAUUCUUAUGGAAGAAGAGGAGGAAGGAUUGCAGCCCCUAAGGGGAUAGGAACUCCACGAGAAGACCACCAGACUCAACUAACCUGGACUCUUGGGGCUCUCAGAGACUGAACCACCCACCACAGAGCAUACACAGGGUGGACAUAGGCUUCACUGCACAUACGUAGCAGAAAUGCAGCUUGGUCUUCAUGUGGAUCCUGAACGGGGGCUCUCCUAAAAGCUGUUGACUGUAUGGGGGAUAUGUAUGGGCUGCCUUGUCUGGCCUCAGUGGAGAGGAUGCAUCUAGCCCCCACACUCUCAGAAAAGAAGGGGAGGGGAAGGAUUGUGGGAGGGGGUGAUCAGGAGGGGGGCAGUGAGCGUGACGUAAAGCGAAUAAGUAAAAAUAAAUUUUAAAACAUGA
rnacentral:sRNA from 1 species